AUAAUAUCAUACGCCUUAACAAGUUUAGGUUUUAAAAAACAAUAAAAACAUUAAAUAGUCAAGUAAAGGUGAUUAAAAUUUGAUGUAUAAGGCCAGCGCAAUAGUACUGAGAAGGAACGAGCACUUUAAUUAUAAAAAAGAAGAUAAGAAUACUCGUACCUUUUGUAUCAUGGUUUAGCUAGAGUUAGGCUUCUGAAAAAGCUUCUCGAAAUCUAAUGAGCUAUUUUAAGUUGUUAUUUUAGUAGCUAGCUGAAAAAGUAGUUGUGGCAAAAACUUUUUUAAAGCUUAAAAUAGAAAUGAAAUUUUUUCCGUAUUAGAUGAUAGCUAGUUCUUUCACAAAGGUAUAGGAGUACUAGAGACUAGAGUUUAUUAGUUUAUAGGUAGUAUAUAACCUAAGAAUCUAGUUUUGGUAGAUUUUAGAGGAUAAGCUCUAGAAUUAUAUUGGAUUUCUAUAGAAAUUUCUUAUUAAAUUUAAGCUUGAAAAUAGCUUCAAUAGUAAGAUUUUGUUACAAUUUCAUUUAAAUUUAAACAAAUAAAAUUAAUUUAUUAACAGACAUGAAAGCCAGACUAAAAAUGGAAACAGUUUAAGUUAAUGCUAAAAUGAGUAUUUACUUCUUAUUAUUAAAGCUUAGACAUAUUAGAUUCGUCAAAGGCAAAGCAAGUGUAUUGUCAUUAGGAUUAAAUUACAUAAAGGAACUCGGCAAAUCUUUGUUCCGCCUGUUUAUCAAAAACAUGGCUCCUCGACUAGAAAAAAUGGGGAGUCGGACCUGCCCAGUGAGUAAUUUUCAACGGCCGCGGUACUCUGACCGUGCAAAGGUAGCAUAAUCAUUUGCCCUAUAAUUGAGGGCUAGUAUGAAUGGUUUGACGUGAACAAAGCUGUCUCUAUGUAAUUUUUUAGAACUUGAUCUUUAGGUGAAGAAACCUAAAUGACAUUGAAAGACAAGAAGACCCUAUUGAGCUUUAAAGAAAUAGGCUGAAAACAACAAUAUAAGUUUAAAUGUUAAUCUGCCUAAAAUUUUGGUUGGGGCGACUAUGGAACAAGCAAAGCUUCUUUACAACUGGAAGACUUUCAGGUUUUGAUCCAAGAAUUUUGAUUAAUGGAAUUAGUUACCAUAGGGAUAACAGCAUAAUUCUCUUUGAGAGUUCUUAUCGAAAAGAGAGUUUGUGACCUCGAUGUUGGACUAGAAUAUCCUAAAGAUGCAGCAGUCUUUAAGGGUUGGUCUGUUCGACCAUUAAAAUUCUACAUGAUCUGAGUUCAGACCGGCGUGAGCCAGGUCAGUUUCUAUCUUCAAUUAAGAGAUUUGAGUUUAGUACGAAAGGACCAACUCAAAGUAGCAGGUCUACUGUAUGAGAUGUAAUAUAAUUUUAAGAUAAAUGAUUUUAUACUUACAGA
rnacentral:rRNA from 1 species